GGAUGAGGGUAAGGAAAAUCAUUAGACUUUGGGCCAUAAAUAUCCAAAGUCUUCAGUAAUCUAAGAGAAAUCGGCUCCAUCACUCUCCUCAUGUUGAAGCCGAAUUCUGAAUCAACAAGCCCCAACGAAAACGCGUUUACGCUCCCAAGCUUCCGAAGUCGAAACACGCCUCCUCGUCUUGUCCAACAUUUCCACGCGCUCAAACCAAUCUCGCUCAUGUUAGAACACAAAGAAGCUUCUUCACGGUGCUGGAAACAAGAUGAUCGCGCGGUGGCGUCUGUGAAUCCAUGAAGAAACUCACCUAAGACUGAUGCACUCUUCUGUUCAUUGUUAGAUUGAGACGAAGAUGGAGGCCUCUGCGUGCAUGAAUUGUGCGAAGAUGAGGAAUCUAAUUUCCGUUGUUGCUCCUGAUUCGCGCUCCGACAUCGUCUCGUCACUCAUGGAUUCACGCUCAUCGACAUCCUCUUAAUCCAAUGGUGUGAAAUUCCAAUUCACUGAAUCAAUAAUGACAACUAUUGAAAUCAACGGCGCCCAAUUGCAACGACAUCACCGGAUCAAGUCGAAGAACAUUGAAGCAAGGAAAAGAAGAGCUUACCGGUUAUGGCCGACGUGAGGAAGAUAAAGACGAUCCUCUCGGCUUUGGCUUUGCGUAUUGCUUCGGCUUUCCCGGGGAAUUGGUUCUGCAGAAGGAUGUUUUUGGUUUUCCUGCAUUUCGCGUUCUGCUGCAAUGCAUUUCGCGUUCUGCUGCAAUGCAUUUCAUGUUGUAACUUGCCAUUUCUGCGUCUACAGUGUAGUGCUUCAACUAUGUUUUAGUCUCCGUUGCGUCUUCGCGUUUUGGCCUUGCAAUGCGUUGCGUUUGCAUGCAUACGUGUAUUCAACUGCAUUUUGGAUUAUGCUCUGCAAUGCGUUUUCAUGUUGUUGAUGUUUCCGUUUCAUGCCGUUUCGUUCUUCCUGCACUGUGUUUUGUUUAUUAAGCACCGAUUUCAUUGCACCUGUGUUUUUAUUAUUUUGUCUUAUUUGGAUGCUGACAUGGAUACAUGGAUAUGGUAAUUAGAAUAUGGAUAUGGUAAUUAGAAUAUGGACAUUUGGAUAUGUAAUGUGGAAUGGUUAAUUGGUAUGGGUUAUGGACAUUUGAAUGGUUAAUUGGAUUUGUUGGAUUUAAUGUGGAUAUGGAUAUGGUAAAUAGAUGGAUUAUUGGAUUUUAGAUA